CCCCCGAUGGUCUAGUUGGUUCAUGGCGUCUGACUGUAAAUCAGAAAAUCACCAGUUCGAUUCUGGUUCGGGGGA
rnacentral:tRNA from 1 species